CUCCUAAAAAGUAACGGAGGAGUCUAUUAUGGUUCCCUAGGCGCGAAUGGAAACCGUGCCGAUAGUGUAAUGGCAAAAGGGAGCUUGACUGCGAGGGGUACAUCCCAAGCAGGCGCGAAAGCGGAGCAUAGUGAACCGAUGAUUCGCAUUAGAUGCGAUCAAAGAUUAACGGAUAAAAGUUACUCUGGGGAUAACAGGCUAGUACUGCCUAAGAGUCCAAAUCGACGGCAGUGUUCGGCACCUCGAUGUCGGCUCAUCUUAUCCUGGAGGUGGAGAAGCUUCCAAGGGUUUGGCUGUUCGCCAAUUAAAAAGAUACGUGAGCUGGGUUCAAACCGUUCAGUGGCUUAGAAUAUAGGCCCUUGAACGGUUUGAACCCCGAGGGAAAUGACAAAUUCACGGCGGUCUCUCAUAGAAAUAUGAGAGUAUGAAGUUGACUGUAUCGGUGAAACUCGCGAGGGUAAUACCGAGGGAAGUCGCACAUGAAAUUCUCGCCAACAGAAAGAGCGUACAUUGCCGGAUUUCUAGACGGUGAUGGAAGCAUUUAUGUUCAAGCAAAAAAGAAUGAUACGUAUCGGUACGGUUAUCAAAUCGCACCCGCCAUCGUAUUUUUCCAAUCAGCAAAAUCAAAAGAGCUUUUCACAGAGUUCUACGAGUUUCUGAAUCUUGGACUGUUGCGAAAUCGUAAAGAUGGGGUAAUGGAAAUAGUUGUCGGUCGAAUCGCAGAAAUUCUGCAGUUGAUCGAAAUCGUAAAGCCAUACACCCGUUUGAAACGAAGACAACUCGCAUUGUUGGAGCAGAUUCUCGAAGCAAAGAAGGCGGUCAGUAAUGAGAAAAGUUUCUCUGAGCUGUUGAAGCUUAUCGAUGGAUAUCGGGACCUGAAUUAUUCGAAGAAAAGAAAUGUGUUGACCCCGUAGAGACUAAACGUCAACCACCCAAACUCAAUCGAGCGGGUGAAGAUAUAGUCCAAAUGCAAUGACAUGCAUAGCGUGAGACAGGUUGGUCUUAAUCUGCUGCAGGCGUUGAUUCUUGAGGAGAUUUGUUUCUAGUACGAGAGGACCGAAAUGAACUGACCUCUGGUCUGGGGGCUGUCACGCCAGUGGCACCGCCCCGUAGCUAUGUCGGGAAAGGAUAACCGCUGAAAGCAUCUAAGCGGGAAGCC
rnacentral:rRNA from 1 species